rnacentral:rRNA from 1 species
AGAGUUUGAUCCUGGCUCAGGAUGAACGCUGGCGGCGUGCCUAACACAUGCAAGUCGAACGGACUUAAUUUGAAACCUAGUGAUAAUUAAGUGAGUGGCGGACGGGUGAGUAACGCGUGGAUAACCUGCCGUAUGCAGGGGGAUACCAACUGGAAACAGUUGCUAAUACCGCAUAAGCGCACGGUGUCGCAUGACACAGUGUGAAAAGGUUUAACGGCAUACGAUGGAUCCGCGUCCGAUUAGCCAGUUGGCGGGGUAACGGCCCACCAAAGCGACGAUCGGUAGCCGGCCUGAGAGGGCGGACGGCCACAUUGGGACUGAGACACGGCCCAAACUCCUACGGGAGGCAGCAGUGGGGAAUAUUGCACAAUGGGGGAAACCCUGAUGCAGCGACGCCGCGUGAGUGAAGAAGUAUUUCGGUAUGUAAAGCUCUAUCAGCAGGGAAGAAAGGUGCCCCUUGGGCGCCUGGACGGUACCUGACUAAGAAGCCCCGGCUAACUACGUG